AGCAAACAGACUUUGAUCCUCCGAGCUGAGUCCACGUGGUGAAGGGAGGCUCGAGAGACAAGUUGACCAAACCUACCAGUUGCUGAACCCUGUGUUGGUUGCUAUGGGGAAGAGGAGGGGCAGUUAAGAAGAAGGAGCUUCUGUCCAGGUGGAGUUCGGUCACAGCUGAGCUGUCUUCCGAAGGACUAACAGUGCAAAACUGGCCCUCACCUGAAGUGCCUUGGUAAACUGCCCGUUCUGCUCCAAGAUUCAGGGAGAGCUGUGGCGGCACCUGAGAUGUGGCAUUUCCAAGAAGCCCCUGCAGGAUUCCAAUGUUGGUGGCCCUCAGAGCACACAGAGGACAAAUGUAUUAGAAAAAAAAAUUUUUUAACAC